UUCAUUUGUUCCAGACGCCUGAAAUUAAAACAAAAACCUGCGUUCAACCAAAUCAAUCCCGAAACCAAAAUUCAUCCGGAUUGUUCCAAUCUUCAACCUCAAAUGGAAAUCAUACAGUAUCGUGAAUGGCUCCUUCCCUAUCUCAAAAAUGAAAACAUCUCAGAAACUUAGCCUUACCUUUCGCAGCUGAAUCCCGUUCGGAUUCGAGGAAAAUUUUGAAACCCAGAAAAAGCUUGGGUUUCCUGAUGCAUAUGAAUUAAAUUGCAGCUGAGGCAACUAUUUUGUCUCUGUCCCAAACCCCCCAACCAUGCCAGACAUGUAAAUUCAUUAUUGAAACCAGAGCCUUUCCAUGCUCGAGAGUUCCACAGGUAUGUCACCGCUCUUUUACAUAUUUCUGCUUUGAUUUCCAAUAUGAGGUUAAAGCCUUUGAUUUCCAACAAAUUUCAGUUAGGCGAAUGAGUGUGGUUGUUUGCCGUUCUCUUUGAGGUGAGAUAAAGUUUAUAUUUGUAGAUAUAUGUAUCUUAACAACAACUAUGGGGGUUGCUAAUGACUUUUUUUUUCCUCUAAUUUUUUUUUUCAAGUGCUUCGCAAUUUAAUCAUUAAAUUACAAGCUAUGCUACAAUCCCAAUUAGUAUUUUAAGUUGUUAACUUACUAUUUAAACUUUCAAUUUUCCAGCCCCAUUACAAAAAUUUGCUAGGCUUUUUAGUGUUCCUGGUGCUGUACAUCCAUUGACGACUAGGGUGGACUGUGCAUCAAAGAUAUAUAUCUGUGUGUCUAUUUACUUACCCUUUUCGAACUUUAUACUUCUUGAGUGAUAUGGUAAUUUAAUUUCUUAAGCUUACCAUUUCUCGCUGUAAAAGAUAGCCUAUUUGCUGAGCAUUAUAAUGUCUACGUUUACACAUUAUCCAACUUGCUUCUAGGAAAUUAAGAUAAUUAAAUGCAUGUAUAUAAUUUCGUUUAAGGGGAGAAAGAAUUUUGAAUUUUGAAUUUCGUUUAGAGGUCGCACUUGAUGCGAUGGCAAGUGCUUUUGUCCAUGAGCGGUAGGUCUCGGGUUCGAGACUUGGGAGCAGCCUCUCCAUAAAUGGGGAUAAGGCUAGCCAACAUUUACCUCUGACAGACCAUGCGUAAAGCGGGAGCCUUGUGCACUGGGUACGACCUUUUAGUCUUUAUUUGAAUCUUCUCAAAUAUAUGUAUAAUUCAAGGAAAGAACAUGUAUGCUUCUUUGGUGGAUUUGAUUCAAAUUGGUAGAUUUCGGUAAGAAAGAAACUUUAAUAUUUUCUUUCGGUUUUAAGAAUUGAAAUGGACAUGCAAGAGAUUGAAGAAUUUUUUGUUCAUCGUACUGGGAUGAGAGGGUAUUAUCAGAACAAUUGUUUAGCAUGACAGUAUUAAAUAAUCAAUUUGAUAAAUUAAAAUGGUGUGAUGAGAGGGUAUUAUCAGAACAAUUGUUUAGCAUGACAGUAUUAAAUAAUCAAUUUGAUAAAUUAAAAUGGUGUGAUUAAAUAAGAUCAUCUGUUGGGUGAACCUAUAUAUGCUUAAUAAAUUGUUUAAUGAGUUUUCAAUCUGUGUAUUUGAGAUUGCUUUUUUUUCUUUUCAUUUUUUCUUUUUAAUUUAAAUUUUAUUUGUGUAUGGUCAAGGAAAAUUAUGGUACCCUAAUCAUUUGACUUAAUUUUGUUUCCACUUCUGAAAGGUUUUCCUGUAAUUUUUUGUAAUAAAAGGAUUGUUUUGUUGCAAAAAGCAGGGCCACUCUGUUUAGGGCUUGAAGAUUUCUACAUUCAUCAGGUUUAUCUUCGACUUCAGGUAUUUUGUUCUAUUGAUGACUUAAAGUCAAUUGCAACUACACUGUUUUGUUAUGAUUGGGUAAAUAGGCUGAUUAUUUGCAUAUUUCAUGAGAAUAUCAAUAGGGACAAUCUACCAAAUUUGUGUGUGUAAAUAGUAUGUAUAUACACAUCAAAUAUUAUUUUUUGUAUGUAAAUAAAAUUACAUACAAAAAAAUUUGUACGGUUAAGGACAGGAGUUUAAUUUGUAAAAGAUGUAAAUAUUAGAACAAUGGCAAUAGAACCGCCAAACCAUGGUUGUAAAUAGAUUUCUACAUGUAAAUAGUAUUGCAUAUUGUAUGUAUUUAGAACUUUCUGCAUAUUUUAUACAGUUUUAAAACCCGCAGCAUCGCGCUGGCACCGUUGCUAGUACAUUCUAUAUCACAAUUGAAUUUUGGCUCAAUCAAAGAAAAUAAAAUCUAACGAAGUCUUCUAACGUGUUUUUUUUUUCUUUCCAACGAUAUAAUUCAUUUCAUAUAUCUUUAAUUACUUCAUAACUUAUCACCCCAACAGCUAACCACCAUCCCAACGCUUGUGUCACGCUCGCGUCGCCCAAGAACAUCAACUUUUAUUUCGAGCAGCAACACUCUCUCCUCUCUUUGCGAACAAAUCAUCAUACCCUGAAACCCUGAUUUUAUUUCUCCCGUUGUAACCCAAUCAUCUUCUCCAUC